rnacentral:lncRNA from 1 species
UCCUGCUUCCUGACCUGCUUGAGUUCCAGUCCUGACUUCCUUGGUGAUGAACAACAACAUGGAAGUAUAAGCUGAAUAAAGCCUUUCCUCCCCAACUUGCUUCUUGGUCAUGAUGUUUGUGCAGGAAUAGAAACCCUGUCUAAGAGACUCCUGUUUCACCUUGGAAGAACCCUUUGAAGAUUCAGAACUCUAUGUGAGUCUCCUAGCACAACUCCCCUUCACCUCUAGACCACAGCUUAGCCUUCUCUGCUUGGCUUCCAAAGCCCUCUACUCCUCCUUGCCCACCUCUCCUUCUCCAGCUCUAGACUCCAGACGUGGCAUCUCCUUUCAGACUUGUCCUUCCCACACAGACCUGUUUACUCUUCCUCCCACUGCCUUCUCCUCACAACUACAUACCUGCGUCUCACCUACCCUCAUCCCCAGGCUAGAUCUGGUGUCCUCAUCUCAUUCCCAUUCUUCUGUGGUAUGUUUGACGUCAUGGGAUACCUACCCCUCAUGGCCUACUGAAUUACAUGGUGCACAACAGAUGUUCAGUAAAUAUUAGCUAAAUGGAAGUACGAUUUUCUGCCAUUCUUCCAGGAGUAUUGUUGGAUCAACAAAUUCAGUGGCUCUGUUCCCAAUAUGCAGAGGGAUACCAGGCAGGGACUGUCAAUCACUGCAGAUUCUGUGAACUGCAAUUCCUGGUUGUCACCUACUUAAUGCAGUGGAUCCCAUGCAGCCCUUAUAUGGUUUUUGGUUGUCUUAGUGUCAGAGCCUGAGGGCUAGUCCUGUGUCAGGCAGUGAGAACUUGAAGCCCUGCCUGCACAGUUGCUACCCAGGACAGGGACUGCAGACCCCACACUUGACGCUUUCUAGUCUUAUCCCAGUGUCCUCUUUGUUUUCACUUCCCCUUGUGACUGACUGUCCCAUCUUUUCUAUACUCUCAUCAUCUUGGAUAAAUCAAAGUUUAAAUCAUUGUACCAUGAGAUCAGAUCUGUCCUCUCUCCAGCUCAGUGAGCUUUCCUGAGGCCCCUCUGUGACUCCUCCUCCAAACUGCCUAAAACUGCUCUCUCAAAAGCCACCACCACCACCAUCACCAUGACCACCAGCAGCAGCAGCAGAGCUCUGAUGAACACGUAGUAAUAUGUCCCUUUGUCACUUGAAUCUACAAUAACUUCAUACAAUAACAGUAGGAAGCAGAUCCUACUAUGUCUCAAAUUUCCUAGACCCAAAGACACAGAGGUAGAGACUCCCCAGAUUAGUCCACAGCACACAGCUGGAGUCACAAAGACAGGUCUGUGGAGGACCCCACUUCACAGGGGCUUUCAAGUCACCUCCCCAGGCUUCUGGCUGUCCCUCCACCACAGAUGCCUGUGACUUCAGGCAUGAAGAUGGGUGGGCUAGUGCUUGCCCUCCUGGCACUCGGAGUAGCCCAUGACUCUAGAUGAACACUUGAAGGCAGACUGAAUGGAUGUUUAAAGUCGGUGACUGCGGAGCAAGUAUGAAGCAAGGCUGGACAUACCCAAUAUACUUGAGGAAUGACACGAGGUUGGCAUGUAAACACUCACCUAUCCACUCACACACACCCCCACACCCCCCCACACACACAUACCACACACACAAACACAUACACACACACACACCACACAGACACACACACACACACACACCAUGCAUACACACAUAAGUCAACAUCUGCAUGCUGUAGUGAGAUCCUGUGUAAAAGAAAGUUCAUAUGCCAGUCAAGGGGUGCACUUAGAGAAAGUGUUUAAAGCUUUGAUGAGACAAGUGCACAGCAUGAUGAAAAGACUCUGAUGUUUCUCUUCCACAUUUCUCUUUCUCCAUAAUACAACCUAUUGUGGGGUAAAACGAUGUCUUUCUGUGGGGCACCAAACAGAAGAGUAAGUAUGGUCUUCGAGUGUCUGGUUCCCAUCCUUUGGAGCGAUGGCUAGGGACCACUUGAAUGGCAGGUCUCCAAAGGAAGUGGGGACCGACAGGAAGUGGGGAGAUGAGUCAACAGGAGGGGUCCUUCCUCUGACUCAGUUGAGGCUCCGUGUAACUACAGAGUGGGCACUGGUCUCCCAAAGCCAAAACAAAAUUAAGAUCUGAAACCAAGAUGUAGCUCACAAAGGAGCCUUUUCAGGAAGUGGGCUUGGGAUGCGGGCUGAAGCUGAGCCACGGGUGUGGCUCGUGCUUGCCCUCUAACUCAGAGCCUGCUACUCCAACUUCUGUGCCACAACAGCUUCUAAGUCUCUAAGGGAAAGAGCAGCCAGAUGUGAAUUUCACGGGGAAGGGGUUUCUAUGAUGAAAGCACGCCAUCCUUAACUUAUUAAAGGCUGAGCAUCAGUGACGAGCACAGACAGGCACGGGAACACUAAGGUAGAACUAACUCACAUGCAGUCAAGUGCAGAGCUCGAGGUGACGGGGCUGACGGCGCUAACCGUGAGCACCAAACUCUGCCACUUAACACAUUAUUUCUGGAAUCUGGGAUUUUGUUUUUCCCCCUCCAACUCUAAAAACAAGACAGACAAAAACCCUUCACGUUUCAUCGUUACUUUCCUCUCAGGAGCUUCUAACGUGUUACUUCGGGAUGAGCAUUAGUCUCCAGAUUUAAAUUUAAUUUUCUACAGGAGAGAAAAUAAAAAACGAACAAACUCAGGAUGAACUAAAACCUUUCAGAUUGUCCCCAUGCUGUGUUCUGCCUGUUCUUCACCUGCCCCACUGGGAAGAACGCCGCAUUCAUAAAACUGUAGAUUCAAUACUAUCAUUUCCAUGGUGACAGAAGGCCACUUCACAGAGAAUUAUGAUUUCAUCAGGGCACCUGGAGGUGAAGAAAGUAGGCGGGGAACAAAUGGACUAUAAAGAGCGAACGAUAAAUCAUGUUUGUGUAAGGACAGGCCACGACCUCUCCGAUGGAGCCUACGCAGCCUUCCAAAUGAGCUCGCUCCCAUGCCCCAAGCUUCAAGAAUUACAUUCUGAUACUUUACUAUGGCUGGUAACAGAACAGACACUUGGCUUUAAAAGGUCCCAACCCUAGUGGUGUGACUCAGGCACUCUGGACACAUGUGCACACACAAGUCAGAGGAAGGUCUAAAGACAACAAGGAAAAGAAUGACAGCAUUGUGGCCCACUAGAGGUUGAAUGUCACCCGCAUCAAGGCUGAAUGUCAAGGCUGACUAUUCCAUAACACUACUCAUGGUCCCUGCCCGUUCCUUCUUCCCUUCUUUAUUCUGGUAGAUAGUUUUAGUGAUGUGAUCAUGAAAAUAUUGUUUGGUUGAACAUAUUUGCCUAUAAAAUAUAUGCAAAUAGCCUCACAAAGCUUGAAAAUCAGUAAGGGAAAACAAAUUUUUGUUUAAUGUUUCCUUGAAGUAAAAUGAG